rnacentral:rRNA from 1 species
AUGGUGAUGAAGAGAGCCAAGUGCUUUCUUUCCCUCGGCUUCCCAUACUUGCUCCUACUCAUCAUGGGUAGCUGCCUUCCUCAUGUCACCUCCCUUAGCUUCAGCUACAACUUCUCCGGCGCCGGCGUCCUCGCCGGCGCCGACCUCAAGUACAUGGACGACUCCGCCCCCGCCCUCAACCGGAUCGAUCUGACCAACCACUCGAGGAAGUGGAGCACCGGCCGCGUAGCCCACGGGCAGGCGGUGCGUCUCUGGGACGACAGCGCAGGCAAGGCCGCCAACUUCACCACCCACUUCGCCUUCGCCAUCAAGCCCGCCAGCGAUAACAGCGCGGCAAGUAGAAUUACUUUCCCAUGUCAUGCAUGGCGUUCGUACGCUUAUCAGUCGCUGCUUGCGCUGCAGAGAGGUGAUGGCAUGGCGUUCUUCGUGGGGCCUUACCCGCCGAGCAUGCCCAGGGACGCGACGGGCGGGUACCUCGCGCUGUUCAACAACCGCGACAACCCGGCCAACACCGACUUCCCGCCGACCGUCGGCGUGGAGUUCGACACGUACAGGAACCUCGGCUGGGACCCCACCGACACCAACUGCCACAUCGGCGUCAACGUCAACAGCAUCAGGUCCAUGGAGUACACGGCGCUGCCGGACGGCAUCUAUAACGGGAUCAUGUCGGCGAAGGUGAGCUACGACGCCCAAACGGCCACGCUCUCGGCCACUCUGCGGUUUGACGAUCCGCCAGGGCAGAGCACAUACACGGUCAGCGCAAACGUAGAUCUGCGGAGAGCCGGUCUGCCGCAGGACGCGGCGGUUGGGUUCUCGGCGUCCAUCGCGGACUUCAUCGAGCAGCAUCAGAUUCUUUCAUGGUCGUUCGACUCCACCAUGUCUGAUUCAAAGACAAAAAACAGAGGUCUACUUGCCGGGCUAGUAUCCGCUGGUAUCUUCGUACUGCUCGUCAUAGCCUCAUGGCUCGGCUACCGCAAAUGUCUGAAAAGGAAGGGUAUAGCAUCUAGAGGUGCAAAGACCCCUCUUGACCAAGACAUGGACAACGAGUUUGAGAAGGGUGUGGGGCCUCGGAGAUUCAGGUACAACGAGCUAUCGCGGGCUACUCGGGGAUUCUCCGACGAGGAGAAGCUCGGCGAGGGUGGCUUCGGGGCAGUAUACAGAGGGUUCUUGCAAGACCAGGGGCUGCAUGUGGCCAUCAAGAGAGUUUCCAAGACAUCGAAUCAGGGGAGGAGGGAAUACAUCGCAGAAGUGACCAUCAUCGGCCGGUUAAGGCAUCGCAACCUUGUCCAGCUUGUCGGGUGGUGCCAUAAAGCCGACGAGCUCCUGCUCGUCUACGAGCUUAUGACGAACGGCAGCCUCGAUGCCCAUCUCUACAAUUCCACGGAAGUCCUAACAUGGGCAACCAGGUACCAAAUCAUUCUUGGCAUGGGGUCUGCGCUGACAUACCUGCACCAGGAGUGGGAGCAGUGCGUGGUGCACAGGGACAUCAAGCCGAGCAACGUGAUGCUUGACUCGUCGUUCAACGCCAAGCUGGGGGACUUCGGGCUCGCGCGCAUCGUCAACCACAGCAGCGGCGCUCACACCACGACGACGUUGGCCGGCACCAAGGGCUACAUGGACCCGGCGUACGCGGUGACCAUCCGGGCUAGCGCGCAGACUGACGUCUACAGCUUUGGGGUCGUCCUCCUCGAGAUCGCCUGUGGCCGCAGGCCCGUCGACCCUCAGGAGGAGGAGAGCAAGGUCCUGCUCGUCGAGUGGGUCUGGGGGCUGUACGGGAGAGGCGCGCUCCUCGACGCGGCGGACGCGCGGCUGGACGGCGACAUGGACGCGCGCGAGAUGGAGUGCGCGCUGGUCACGGGCCUCUGGUGCGUGCACCCGGACUACGGCUUCCGGCCGUCCAUCCGACAAGCCAUGAGCGUGCUCCAGUUCGAGGCGCCGCUUCCGGAACUCCCCCCGGAGAGGCCGGUGGCAGUGUACGCGCCGCCUCACGGAGUACACGGAUCGAGCUACACGUCGUCGACUGGGAGUUCCGGCGCCGGCGGAUGCUCGUCCACAAGUGACCGGACGGCGGCGAACAGCCGUUCAUUUGCCAUUGCGGCGUCCAGGACGAGUCAGACCACAAGGCCGACCACCGCGUCCACGCCUGACCAAACUCACGCCCCGGGCAUGACUGGGCAUGUUCAGUCCACGAACUUCUCUUCCUAG